AAAAAAAGUUUCCUCUCACUGGCCUGCACACACUACUCUCUCUCAAUAGCCUGCACUGCACACACCAACCGCCUGCGCUCUGCCUCUCUAUCUCUCUCCAGCUCUGCACGCAUUUAUUUCUUUGUCUCAUAUUCUCUUUCCUCUUCGUGCUUUCCAUCUCUUCCCCCUCUCCUUUUCUCUCUGCUUCGGACAGAAGGGUGGCGACUAAGCUGGGAGGACAUUGGCCGAAAGGGGAUUAUACGAAACGAGGAUGCAGGAGAGAGGAAAAGGACCGAGAGGGGGAUAAAGGUUGAGAAGGCACGUUUGGGAGUUUUGGUUUUUCUGCUGGAGGGCUCGAUAGAGGUUUUUCGAGAGAUUCCAGAGAGAGAUCCGAGAGAGAGGCCGAAGGAGCGUUUUGGCCGAGGUCGGUCGUUGUUCGUGAGCUUCCGUACGUCUUCACCUUUCCCGUCGAAUCAGUCAAACACAUACGGUCGCCGUCGCCACCCCUCGUCUCAACGCCGGAACCCUAGCCGCCGCCGGAUCAGUCGAUCGUCGCCGGAAACCCCUCCCCUUCCCCUUCGGUCGAGCUGAAAUUUUGACGUUUAGGGUUCGAGUUCUGUGGGAGAUUGGACAAGUGAGGCUGCUCGCGAAGGAGGACUCCGAGGCGAGGACGACGCUCCCGAUGCUCGGGGCGAUCCCGCCGUUGGUGGGAAUGCUCGAUUCUUCGGAUCUCGAUUCGCAGAUUGUUUCGCUCUACGCUCUGCUCAACCUCGGCAUUGGCAAUGACAUGUUCUGGCUCUCUGUUUAGUUUCUGUCUUCUAUGGUGUCAUCAAUUAUUCAUCUGCACGCGCUGGGUUCCCCUCUCGUUCCGUCCUCAGUUUGGGUUCUUGGGUGCGUCGUAGAUCGGUUCAGCAACAUUUACUGACUUUGAUCUUGCUGAUAAUAGGACAGGCAAGCUAAUUGAAACAUCAUGCUAGAUCAUGCAUCAAAAUAGCACAUAAAUCCACAGAAGAGAGCCGCCUAUAGGAAAAUGGAACUUUAUGAAUAUCGCCACGCACGCUAGUCAAGAAUACCACUUCCCCUCUGCUUAAUGUACGAUUAAUGUGCUUCCGCAAUGAAAGAAACGGAUAAAAUACAUUCUGCAUACACAGUAGCAGUAGGAGAAUAUAGUCGAACGCUUUUUAGAUAUAAAAUGCAAGAGAAAUCAAUAGAACCAUUGGGGAGACAGGGUGAGUAGGUUAAGUUCUAUUAUGCGUUCAUCUGUAAAGUUUGACAGAAAUUUACAAAUGUAAGUGUGGGUUUAUAGAUAAGUCAAGUUUUGGGUUGAGACAGGGUGAGUACUGAAUCUUUCCCCAAUCUGUUUGACCUUGCUGUGUUUGAAUUGGUGCAUGAAGCUUGUAAUGGAGGGCAUGCUUUGCAAUUUGCACCAUAAUGUGCGUUUCCCUUAUAUGCUAUAAUGAUGCAAUACAAUGCGUUUUAUACAUUGGAAUUUUGUUCUAUCACUAGAUCUUUUAUUGGCUUUGCUCACGACAUAAUAUUGUCUUUCUGAGUAGAGACCAGCGAUACACUUAACUCCAUCUCAAGGACAUUGGGUUAGAAUUUUCUUGGCCUAUUGGUAGAAUUAAAGAUGCACUUUCAGAAUUAAAUGGUAUCGACUGUUCAACCCCCCACGACGUGCUCCAGAAAAUUUGCAAAAUCAAUUCCUGCUCCAGUUGAAGAACAAAACAUUCCAGAGGCAAAAAUUAUGUGAUUCAAGAUCUUCCAUCUUGAAUUGAGACUCUUUUAACUCUUGAAAAAGAGUAAAAAGAGGAGUUGUCCUAGUCAUUAAAAAACCAACAAUUCGUGAAAAGUUAGAACAAAACGAGGGAAAAACAAAACUAUUGCAUUGACAUAUGCACAUGACAUAAAAACUAUAAAUAUGAGCAUAGCUUUCUGUGACUUUGAAGACCAAUAUGGUAACAGACCCUAAUGGUAUUAACCCUACUGACAAUACCAUCCCAACCCGAACCCCAGGAAAAAAAAAAGUGGGAAACCUAGCAACCCGACCCGAAUCGAACCAUCUAAUGUGUUUCAGGUCGGUCCAGGUUGGGUCAUAGUGUGUGGCCCUUGUGUUUCGGUUCGGGUCGGGUAACAACGAAACCCGACCCGACCCAUUGACACCCCUAAUGCGCACCUGUCGUUGGCCAAGCUUAAAAGGGAGAGGGAGCAAGAGAGAAAAAGGGGGGUCGGAGAGAGAGAUCCGAAGGGGAGUUCGAGUGAGAGGGCUGAAAUUUAGCCUCGGCUAAGCGUCGUCCAGGCAUCCUCGCAAACCAGUGCAAUGGAGCUUGCAGUUCCCCCCUUCUUCUACGUCCUCCGACGUUGGUGAGUUGAGUUUUGGUUUCGAUCCGUUGUUUUCUCAAGGAUCCCGGCUUGGCGACACUAAGAUGGCCGGCCACAACUAGAUGUGUGUUAAGACCGGCUUCCGGACGUUGUCGCCAAGCCAGGUAGGGGCCUAUGAUUGGGUGCCCGUUCCUUUAUUUUAUUUUAUUUAUUAUAGCUGCGUCCGGCUUGAUUUUAGAGAGCUAAGCAAGCUCGAUUUCCUUAGUCCUCAUCCGCGCCAGACCCGAAUGAGUCGAUUUCUCUUAAGUUUAAACUUUGCUCGCUGAUUUCUUGAGUUUGGGUGUGAGUUCGAGCUCUGAAGAAGUCCAUAUUCACUCUCCAACGCGUUGCCCAUUACGUGUUCGAAGAAAUGCCCGAACAAAGUCCGUCCAGCUUGGUCUCAGACUCUGACUUGUUUAGGGGGCAUUCAAAUUUGUUCCUUUCAGUGCACGAUUGUUCUUGAUUAUUGAGUGCAUUCUCAGUAAAACAUUUCGUUCCCAUCGAUUCCAAAUCUCUUAAAACUUUCGGUUGCUUUGCUUGGUGCUUUGAUAUUGUCCUCGUGAAUAUUCCCGGAGUCUGUGGCCGUCGGAGGUUGACGCCGGUUAGGAUGGAAGCAAGUGGUCAAGGGCCGGUGGUUGUAACAGCCACCGACGACCAAGGAUUGCCAACUGUGGAGAAGAAGAAUUCAACUUAAGUUCACGAAAGACCAGCUACACAAGACUAGCGAGCAACUACUGAUGCUCUACUCUAGAACACCCUUUUACUUCCAGAGGGUAAACAAACUAGCUCAUAAAAAAAAUGUAUAUUGAGUAAAGGGACUACAUAAGAUUCAUGAUCCUCGAACUUGUCAA